ACCGACCGCUGCUGCAGCUGAACAGCAAUCGUACCAGCCCACAGGCACCUUAACAUCACAUUUCAGGCUAUUUCUUCAGAUUCCUCGCUCGUCGGAUACUACUCGUGCACUGCAAAUGCAAGCCAUUAAGUGUGUCGUUGUCGGCGACGGUGCCGUGGGUAAGACAUGCCUGCUCAUCAGCUACACCACUAAUGCCUUCCCAGGAGAGUAUAUUCCCACAGUAUUUGACAACUACUCUGCCAAUGUUAUGGUGGAUGGUAAACCUGUCAACUUAGGCCAAUGGG